GACGAACGCUGGCGGCGUGCUUAACACAUGCAAGUCGAACGGAAAGGCCCUGCUUUUGUGGGGUGCUCGAGUGGCGAACGGGUGAGUAACACGUGAGUAACCUGCCCUUGACUUUGGGAUAACUUCAGGAAACUGGGGCUACUACCGGAUAGGAGCUCCUGCUGCAUGGUGGGGGUUGGAAAGUUUCGGCGGUUGGGGAUGGACUCGCGGCUUAUCAGCUUGUUGGUGGGGUAGUGGCUUACCAAGGCUUUGACGGGUAGCCGGCCUGAGAGGGUGACCGGCCACAAUGGGACUGAGAUACGGCCCAGACUCCUACGGGAGGCAGCAGUGGGGAAUAUUGCACAAUGGGCGGAAGCCUGAUGCAGCAACGCCGCGUGCGGGAUGACGGCCUUCGGGUUGUAAACCGCUUUCGCCUGUGACGAAGCGUGAGUGACGGUAAUGGGUAAAGAAGCACCGGCUAACUACGUG
rnacentral:rRNA from 1 species